rnacentral:rRNA from 1 species
UACGGAGGGUGCUAGCGUUGUUCGGAAUCACUGGGCGUAAAGGGCGUGUAGGCGGUCUGUUAAGUCUGAUGUGAAAUCCCCUCGCUCAACGAGGGAACUGCGUCGGAUACUGGCAGACUCGAGUACCGGAGAGGAAGGUGGAACUCCCGGUGUAGCGGUGAAAUGCGUAGAUAUCGGGAGGAACACCGGUGGCGAAGGCGGCCUUCUGGACGGAUACUGACGCUGAGACGCGAAAGCGUGGGGAGCAAACAGG